UAUUCAUCCUACAAAUCCUAUAAACAACAAAAUUUAUCAAUUAGAAUUUAUGAAAGAAAAUUUGGAUCCUACGCCUGCAAUGAUUGACGAACAUCGUUUUAUUCAUAAGUUUUCAUCAAUAACUGUUGAUAACGAUAAAUCUCCCGAAAAACCUCUGAAAGAAAUAUUCACUUUGCCGUUGGAUUAUUUACUGAAGAAAAAA
rnacentral:lncRNA from 1 species